rnacentral:rRNA from 1 species
GAUGAACGCUGGCGGCGUGCCUAAUACAUGCAAGUCGAGCGAACGGACGAGAAGCUUGCUUCUCUGAUGUUAGCGGCGGACGGGUGAGUAACACGUGGAUAACCUACCUAUAAGACUGGGAUAACUUCGGGAAACCGGAGCUAAUACCGGAUAAUAUUUUGAACCGCAUGGUUCAAAAGUGAAAGACGGUCUUGCUGUCACUUAUAGAUGGAUCCGCGCUGCAUUAGCUAGUUGGUAAGGUAACGGCUUACCAAGGCAACGAUGCAUAGCCGACCUGAGAGGGUGAUCGGCCACACUGGAACUAAGACACGGUCCAGACUCCUACGGGAGGCAGCAGUAGGGAAUCUGCCGCAAUGGGCGAAAGCCUGACGGAGCAACGCCGCGUGAGUGAUGAAGGUCUUCGGAUCGUAAAACUCUGUUAUUAGGGAAGAACAUAUGUGUAAGUAACUGUGCACAUCUUGACGGUACCUAAUCAGAAAGCCACGGCUAACUACGUG